rnacentral:rRNA from 1 species
GACGGGGGAUGCAAGUGUUAUCCGGAAUCACUGGGCGUAAAGCGUCUGCAGGUGGUUUCCUAAGUCCACUGUUAAACCUUGAGGCUCAACCUCAAAUCUGCAUUGGAAACUAGGAGACUUGAGUAUAGUAGGGGUAGAGGGAAUUUCCAGUGGAGCGGUGAAAUGCGCAGAUAUCAGGAGGAACACCGGUGGCGAAGGCGGGUCUCUGGGCCGGAACUGACGCUAAGGAGCGAAAGCGUGGGGAGCGAACAGG